rnacentral:rRNA from 1 species
UCUAGUAGCUGGUUCCCUCCGAAGUUUCCCUCAGGAUAGCUGGUGCAUUUUAAAAUUAUGUAAAAUAAUCUUAUCUGGUAAAGCGAAUGAUUAGAGGCCUUAGGGUCGAAACGAUCUUAACCUAUUCUCAAACUUUAAAUGGGUAAGAAACUCACCUUUCUUGAUAUGAAGGUUGAGGUUAUGAUAUAAUGUGCCCAGUGGGCCACUUUUGGUAAGCAGAACUGGCGCUGUGGGAUGAACCAAACGUAAUGUUACGGUGCCUAAAUUAACAACUCAUGCAGAUACCAUGAAAGGCGUUGGUUGCUUAAAACAGCAGGACGGUGGACAUGGAAGUCGUAAUCCGCUAAGGAGUGUGUAACAACUCACCUGCCGAAGCAACUAGCCCUUAAAAUGGAUGGCGCUUAAGUUGUAUACCUAUACAUUACCGCUAAAGUAUAUGAUUUAUAAUGCAAUCAUUAUUGUUUGGAUUAUAAAUUUUGAAACUUUAGUGAGUAGGAGGGUACAAUGGUGUGCUUAGAAGUGUUUGGCGUAAGCCUGCAUGGAGCCGCCAUUGGUACAGAUCUUGGUGGUAGUAGCAAAUAAUCGAAUGAGAUCUUGGAGGACUGAAGUGGAGAAGGGUUUCGUGUGAACAGUGGUUGAUCACGAGUUAGUCGGUCCUAAGUUCAAGGCGAAAGCCGAAAAUUUUCAAGUUUUAAUAAACAAAAUUUAAAAACUUUUUUUAUAUAUUAUAAUUAAAUACUUGAAUAAUUUUGAACGAAAGGGAAUACGGUUCCAAUUCCGUAACCUGUUGAGUAUCCGUUUGUUAUUAAAAAUGGGCCUUGUGCUCAUCCUGGCAACAGGAACGACCAUAAAGAAGCCGUCGAGAGGUAUCGGAAGAGUUUUCUUUUCUGUUUUAUAGUCGUACUACCAUGGAAGUCUUUCGAAGAGAGAUAUGGUAGAUGGACUAGAAGAGCAUGACAUUUACUGUUGUGUCGAUAUUUUCUCCUCGGACCUUGAAAAUUUAUGGUGGGGUCACGCAAACUUCUCAACAGGCCGUACCAAUAU